UCUCCAUCGGUAUAAAUGUUGUGAAAAGGACUACUAGAUUGGAUGCAGGAAGAGCUUGAAUUUAUUGUAAUACAUCAUCCGAAGAUUUAAAUGACUUAAGGAUACACAGUGACUUUUCCAUAGUAACCUCCUCAUUUAGUCUGUCAAUCCCAUCCAUGGACAUUUAAGGGAGUCCUCAAUUUUGUAGGACAUCACUCAGUAAACCGUUUUCCAUUAAGUCAAUUAUCUAACCUGUCUUUACAAAGGACUGGCAUAAUUGGACUAUUUCUAGUGUAAACACAGCAUCAGUGAAGACAAAACUGCUAUAGUAAACAACUUAAUAACUCAAAGGGUAAGAACCUUUUUGGUUGCAGACUUUGCCAUAUAUAAAACCAGCAUCUCACAUGUGGC